AUGGAUCUGGCAACGGGCGCCAUGGGCUCCCUGCUCCCCAAGCUGGCCAAGCUCCUCACCGAGGAGUACAAUCUGCAGCAAGGCGUCAGGGAAGGCGUCGAAUCUCUCAAGAAAGAGAUGAAGAGCAUGCACCUCGCCCUCUGCAAGGUGGCGGAGGUGCCGCGGGAGCAGCUCGACGAGCAGGUCAAGCACUGGGCGGGGGAGGUGAGGGAGCUGUCCUUCGACAUGGAGGAUGUCGUCGACAAGUUCCUGGUGCAUCUCCAUGAGGGUUCUGAGCCUGCAGAAAACUCUAAUAAGCUCAAGCGGCUCACAAAGAAGAUGGCCGGCUUGUUCACCAAGGGGAAGGCUCGCCAUGAGAUCGCUGACGCGAUCAAGGACAUCAAUAAACAAGUCCAAGAGGUUGCUAAAAGGCAAACAAUGUACAAUGUCGACGGUAUGGUCACCAGCCUCCCUACCACGACUUCUAUCGACCCUCGUCUUGGAGCUCUGUACAAGGAAGUGACAGAGCUGGUUGGCAUUGCUGGAAAAAGGGAUCAAGAGCUAAUGAAUUUGCUUUUGGAGGGGGACGACAUGUCCAACAAAAAGUUGAAGAUUGUCUCUGUUGUCGGAUUCGGAGGAUUGGGCAAGACCACUCUUGUGAAGACGGUCUAUGACAAGAUUAAAGGAGAUUUCAGUUGUAGUGCUUUUGUUUCGGUCGGUCGAAAUGCCGAGGCAAGGCAGGUUUUCAUGGACAUCCUUCUUGACCGUAAUAUGAAGAAAAUCCGCGAUGAUCUUUGCAUUAAUGAAAGUCAAUUCAACUUGUCGAAUGAAAGACAACUCAUCGAUCUACUCCUAGAAGGUCUGGCGGACAAGAGGUACCUCAUCGUAAUUGAUGACAUAUGGGACCCAACAUUGUGGACACAUAUCAACUAUGCAUUCUCUAAUAGUAACAAUUUUGGUAGUCGACUUAUCACAACUACUCGCAUAGUUAGUGUAUCAAAAUUAUGUUGCUCAUCUACUAAUGAUUCAGUUUAUAAGAUGAAACCUCUCAGUGAUGAUGAUUCCAAAAGGCUGUUCUUCAAACGUAUAUUUGCUCAAGAGAGUGGAUGUCCUCGUGAGUUCGAAGAAGUGUCUGCAGGUAUAUUGAAAAAAUGUGGUGGUGUGCCAUUGGCCAUCAUUACAAUAGCUAGUACUUUGGCUAGUGGUCAGAAAAGAAAUUCACUGGAUGAGUGGCAUGUUUUGCUAGAGUCUAUUGGCCGUGGACUUACUGAAGACCGCAGUGUAGAUGAGAUGAUGAGGAUACUAUCAUUUAGCUAUUACGACCUUCUUCCUCGUCUGAGGACAUGCUUAUUAUAUCUAAGCAUGUUUCCGGAAGAUAGGGUGAUAAUGAAAGAUCAGUUGAUAUGGAUGUGGAUUGCUGAAAGCUUUAUCCCAUGUGGAAAAGCAAAUUCUAGUUUCUUUGAGGUCGGAGAAACUUACUUCAAUGAGCUUGUGAACAAAAGCUUGAUCCAGCCGACAUAUGAUGAAUUAGGCUCUGUACAUGGUUGUCGUGUACACGAUAGUGUACUUGAUCUAAUAUGUUCCUUGUCAGGUGAAGAGAACUUUGUUACUAUAGUGAGUGGUACUGGUGAUACCAUUUCUUCAGAGGGCAUUGUCCGUAGAUUGUCCCUCCAAAAUGGUAGAAAAGAAGAAGGUCAAACCAGACCUCUGAGAUGUGAGAGUAUAGGAAAAGUGAGGUCUGUUGUUACAUUUGCACCUGCUAUUGAUCUAAUGCCACCAUUCUCGAGCUUUGUUGUUUUGCGUGUGUUAGAUUUGGAUGAAUAUGAUGGUAUUAAGGAGGGCCAUCUCAACCUUCAAGAGCUGGGGCGUUUACUUCACUUGAGGUACCUACGUCUAUCUGGACACGGAAUUACUGAGUUGCCCGAAGAGAUUGGAAAGCUGAAGUUUUUGCAGGUGUUGAUUUUUCCUGGCUCAACAAGGCUGCCGUCGACUGUGAUUAAGCUCACAGGAUUGAUGUGCCUACGUACUGAUGGUGGGAGGCUUCAUCUUCCAUAUGGUGUUGGAAACCUGGGAUCAAUGGAAGUGUUGAAUGAGAUCAAAGUUGGCUCUGUAAGCAUUGUGCAAGAGUUGGGGAGCAUGCACAGACUGAGGGAGCUCAAUAUUCAGUUUGAGAGCUCGGAGCUUCUGGAAGCUUUUGUGGAGUCACUAGGGAAAAUGCAAAAGAUCCAGCGUGUAGAAAUCAGUGCCAACUGUGAGCCUCAAGUUUCAAUGGAUCUGUUGGGGGAAGGUUGGUUGCCCCCUGCAAGUAUCCAGGAGUUUGUCAUGCGCAGAGGCGUCAAAUUAUCUACGCUGCCGGCAUGGAAUGCAUAUCAUCUGUCACAACUCUCCAAAUUAGCACUAAGUGUAGGGGUUGUGCGACAGAAGGAUCUGGAAUUCCUUGGAAGGUUACCGGCUCUUCGGAUUCUCUGGUUACUGAGCGACAACCAAAGGCCGCUAGUUGUUGGCGCCGAGGGGUUCCGUUGUUUGGAAAAUGUCUUCUUGGCUUCCAAAUCACCGAGCCAAAUAUUGUUCCAGCCAGGAGCUUUGCCCAAGGCCGAUCAAGUUACCAUCGAAAUCGGUUUGCGGGUGGCGAAAGAGGAAGCAGCUGGCACCGGUGGCUAUUGGUUUGACAUGGGCAUCGAGAACCUGUCGUCCCUUCGCCACAUCGAUGUCUGGUUCCGCCGUUCUGGAGUGACUGUCGGGGAGGCCAAGCAAGCGAAGGCUGCGCUGGUGGACGCCCUCCGCGCCCAUCCUAACCGCCCCACCUUGAAAAUCUAUUUCGACGUGGACAUACCAGAAGAUGCUCGUGAUGAGGACGUCUACACCAAGGACGAAGAGUCAGAUUGA
rnacentral:rRNA from 1 species